rnacentral:rRNA from 1 species
UACGUAGGGUGCGAGCGUUGUCCGGAAUUAUUGGGCGUAAAGAGCUCGUAGGCGGUGUGUCACGUCGGCCGUGAAAACCUGCAGCUUAACUGUGGGCGUGCGGUCGAUACGGGCAUCACUGGAGUUCGGCAGGGGAGACUGGAAUUCCUGGUGUAGCGGUGAAAUGCGCAGAUAUCAGGAGGAACACCGGUGGCGAAGGCGGGUCUCUGGGCAACAACUGACGUGGAGGAGCGAAAGCGUGGGGAGCGAACAGG